rnacentral:rRNA from 1 species
AAUAUUGGACAAUGGGGGGAACCCUGAUCCAGCCAUGCUGCGUGUGUGAAGAAGGUCUUCGGAUUGUAAAGAACUCUAAGUUGGGAGGAAGGGCUUUAGGUAAAUACCUUGAAGUUUUGACGUUACCAACAGGAAAAGUACCGGCUAACUCUGUGCUAGCAGCCGCGGUAAUACAGAGGGUGCAAGCGUUAAUCGGAAUUACUGGGCGUAAGGCGCGCGUAGGUGGUUCAGUAAGAUGGGUGUGAAAUCCCCGGGCUUAACCUGGGAACUGCUUUCAUAACUGCUGAGCUAGAGUACGGUAGAGGAUAGUGGAAUUUCCUGUGUAGCGGUGAAAUGCGUAGAUAUAGGAAGGAACACCAGUGGCGAAGGCGACUACCUGGACUGGUACUGACACUGAGGUGCGAAAGCGUGGGGAGCAAACA